GAUGAACGCUGGCGGCGUGCCUAAUACAUGCAAGUCGAGCGAACGGACGAGAAGCUUGCUUCUCUGAUGUUAGCGGCGGACGGGUGAGUAACACGUGGAUAACCUACCUAUAAGACUGGGAUAACUUCGGGAAACCGGAGCUAAUACCGGAUAAUAUUUUGAACCGCAUGGUUCAAAAGUGAAAGACGGUCUUGCUGUCACUUAUAGAUGGAUCCGCGCUGCAUUAGCUAGUUGGUAAGGUAACGGCUUACCAAGGCAACGAUGCAUAGCCGACCUGAGAGGGUGAUCGGCCACACUGGAACUGAGACACGGUCCAGACUCCUACGGGAGGCAGCAGUAGGGAAUCUUCCGCAAUGGGCGAAAGCCUGACGGAGCAACGCCGCGUGAGUGAUGAAGGUCUUCGGAUCGUAAAACUCUGUUAUUAGGGAAGAACAUAUGUGUAAGUAACUGUGCACAUCUUGACGGUACCUAAUCAGAAAGCCACGGCUAACUACGUGCCAGCAGCCGCGGUAAUACGUAGGUGGCAAGCGUUAUCCGGAAUUAUUGGGCGUAAAGCGCGCGUAGGCGGUUUUUUAAGUCUGAUGUGAAAGCCCACGGCUCAACCGUGGAGGGUCAUUGGAAACUGGAAAACUUGAGUGCAGAAGAGGAAAGUGGAAUUCCAUGUGUAGCGGUGAAAUGCGCAGAGAUAUGGAGGAACACUAGUGGCGAAGGCGACUUUCUGGUCUGUAACUGACGCUGAUGUGCGAAAGCGUGGGGAUCAAACAGGAUUAGAUACCCUGGUAGUCCACGCCGUAAACGAUGAGUGCUAAGUGUUAGGGGGUUUCCGCCCCUUAGUGCUGCAGCUAACGCAUUAAGCACUCCGCCUGGGGAGUACGACCACAAGGUUGAAACUCAAAGGAAUUGACGGGGACCCGCACAAGCGGUGGAGCAUGUGGUUUAAUUCGAAGCAACGCGAAGAACCUUACCAAAUCUUGACAUCCUUUGACAACUCUAGAGAUAGAGCUUUCCCCUUCGGGGGACAAAGUGACAGGUGGUGCAUGGUUGUCGUCAGCUCGUGUCGUGAGAUGUUGGGUUAAGUCCCGCAACGAGCGCAACCCUUAAGCUUAGUUGCCAUCAUUAAGUUGGGCACUCUAAGUUGACUGCCGGUGACAAACCGGAGGAAGGUGGGGAUGACGUCAAAUCAUCAUGCCCCUUAUGAUUUGGGCUACACACGUGCUACAAUGGACAAUACAAAGGGCAGCGAAACCGCGAGGUCAAGCAAAUCCCAUAAAGUUGUUCUCAGUUCGGAUUGUAGUCUGCAACUCGACUACAUGAAGCUGGAAUCGCUAGUAAUCGUAGAUCAGCAUGCUACGGUGAAUACGUUCCCGGGUCU
rnacentral:rRNA from 1 species